rnacentral:ncRNA from 2 species
UAGGCACUGCAGGGGUGGCUGGAAGGCCUGAGAGGAUACCCUUUGAACCUGAUCCGGGUAAUGCCGGCGCAGGGAGCCGAUAUCCGAAGCGU